GGGUGGCGGGGGGGGGGAGCCUGGGCCCACAGGAAGAGUGCGGGGUGGGGCGGGGUCCCAAGAGGAAGGUUCCGCGACUGCCACGCGACCCGGCCCCCGACCCCACGCACAGGGUGACGUGGCCCGGGCCAGCCUGCCAGUCCGUCCGUCCCUCUGUCUACCCAGCCACCCUUCCAGUCCAUCUGUCUGUGGCCCUCACGGGCCCCGUCCCAGUCGCCACCCCACCCCAGGCCCUUGACCUGGCUCGCUUGCCUUUCUCUUCCCCCACUGGCCUUUCUCCGUCUCUCUGCUCCCCCACAACUCCAGGUCCCCCAUGGAACCCACGAUCGCUCGCGUCGCGUGUGCCACGGCACACUCGGGCGAGAAGGCUCUGACCGGAGGGAACAGAUCCUCCCAGAGGCAUCGAGAGGAGCCCCAAAGGCGCCUGGCCCCACGUUUCCCACACCGAGGCCUGAGCCACCCCAGCACCCAGGGCCUCACCUCUAAUUCUAGGUCCCAAGCUGCCACCUGGAAAGGAAAGGCUAGGACCCGUUAGUUCCCUCUUGGAAUGGGUGCCCGAGUCGUCCCGCUCCCCCGCCGGGGUGCUGGGCCCGGGCAGCAAGGGAAUCCACUUUCUCCCCCUGUCCGGGCCGCCGGCACCCAACGCACCUGCACAUGGAGGGACGUGGCUUUCUUCUCUUCUAAACGUCCGAGGGAAGGGACAACCAGCCUGAUGCCUGCAGAGGGUCCUUCGGGCAGGGCAAGGACGGGUCACCCGCCACACCAUGCCAUCUCGGGCCACCUUUCAGCCGCCCAGGCCUCCCGCUGCAACCACGCUCACUACCUCAAUCCAAGGAGAGCCGCGUCCUCCUCCCGGGCUCUGCCCAGCACUACACACUCACCCGUCCAUGUGAGCAGCCCUGGAGAGGAGGCCUGCGUGCACCGCAUCCACAAACCCAGACCCAAAGCCCCUGACUGGGACCCGGACCUAGACCCAAAGCCGCAGCUGUCUGUGCACUUGGCCUGUUGGUUGGUGGGCCAUCUGCGGGCCACCACCGGAGCCACCAGGGAGCCCUGAGCAUCUCCUCCUCUCGGCCGAUGAGUGGUCCGCUGGAUGUGUGUGCAGUCUGUGGGGGCGUGGGGGUGUGGGAGGGGGCGGCGAUGGUGCUGGUGUUAGCCUGGACCAGGGAGCCUUUCCGGGUUGGCACCGGGGUGGGGUGAGGGUGAGGGUGAGGGUGGGGGUGAUAGAUAGCUUGAAAUUGAAAUGCCUGUGUCUUCAAGUGUGGGGUAGC
rnacentral:lncRNA from 1 species